rnacentral:rRNA from 1 species
AAUCAACGCUGGCGGCGUGCCUAACACAUGCAAGUCGAACGCGAAAGCCCUUUCGGGGGUAAGUAGAGUGGCGUCCGGGUGAGUAACACGUAGGUAAUCUACCUUCGGGUGGGGAAUAACUCGCCGAAAGGCGAGCUAAUACCGCAUAAUGCAGCGGCACCUAAUGGUGAUUAGUUGUUAAAGCGGGGGAUCGUAAGACCUCGCGCCUGAAGAGGAGCCUGCGGCAGAUUAGCUAGNGGUGAGGUAAUGGCUCACCAAGGCUUCGAUCUGUAGCUGGUCUGAGAGGACGACCAGCCACACUGGCACUGACACACGGGCCAGACUCCUACGGGGGGCAGCAGUGGGGAAUUUUGGGCAAUGGGCGCAAGCCUGACCCAGCAACGCCGCGUGAGGGAGGAAAUCCUUCGGGAUGUAAACCUCACAAGCAAGGGAAGAGAGCUCAGGACCAAAU